rnacentral:rRNA from 1 species
GUUGGGUAGGGGAGCGUUCUGUAAGCCUGUGAAGGUGUGCUGUGAGGGUUGCUGGAGGUAUCAGAAGUGCGAAUGCUGACAUAAGUAACGAUAAAGCGGGUGAAAAGCCCGCUCGCCGGAAGACCAAGGGUUCCUGUCCAACGUUAAUCGGGGCAGGGUGAGUCGACCCCUAAGGCGAGGCCGAAAGGCGUAGUCGAUGGGAAACGGGUUAAUAUUCCCGUACUUGGUGUUACUGCGAAGGGGGGACGGAGAAGGCUAUGUUGGCCGGGCGACGGUUGUCCCGGUUUAAGCGUGUAGGUGUGUGUUCCAGGUAAAUCCGGUUCACUUUAACACUGAGGCGUGAUGACGAGGCACUACGGUGCUGAAGCAACAAAUGCCCUGCUUCCAGGAAAAGCCUCUAAGCAUCAGGUAACAUCAAAUCGUACCCCAAACCGACACAGGUGGUCAGGUAGAGAAUACCAAGGCGCUUGAGAGAACUCGGGUGAAGGAACUAGGCAAAAUGGUGCCGUAACUUCGGGAGAAGGCACGCUGACAUGUAGGUGAAGUGAUUUACUCAUGGAGCUGAAGUCAGUCGAAGAUACCAGCUGGCUGCAACUGUUUAUUAAAAACACAGCACUGUGCAAACACGAAAGUGGACGUAUACGGUGUGACGCCUGCCCGGUGCCGGAAGGUUAAUUGAUGGGGUCAGCGCAAGCGAAGCUCCUGAUCGAAGCCCCGGUAAACGGCGGCCGUAACUAUAACGGUCCUAAGGUAGCGAAAUUCCUUGUCGGGUAAGUUCCGACCUGCACGAAUGGCGUAAUGAUGGCCAGGCUGUCUCCACCCGAGACUCAGUGAAAUUGAACUCGCUGUGAAGAUGCAGUGUACCCGCGGCAAGACGGAAAGACCCCGUGAACCUUUACUAUAGCUUGACACUGAACAUUGAGCCUUGAUGUGUAGGAUAGGUGGGAGGCUUUGAAG